rnacentral:rRNA from 1 species
GACGAACGCUGGCGGCGUGCCUAAUACAUGCAAGUAGAACGCUGAAGAGAGGAGCUUGCUCUUCUUGGAUGAGUUGCGAACGGAUGAGUAACGCGUAGGUAACCUGCCUUGUAGCGGGGGAUAACUAUUGGAAACGAUAGCUAAUACCGCAUAACAAUGGAUGACACAUGUCAUUUAUUUGAAAGGGGCAAUUGCUCCACUACAAGAUGGACCUGCGUUGUAUUAGCUAGUAGGUGAGGUAACGGCUCACCUAGGCGACGAUACAUAGCCGACCUGAGAGGGUGAUCGGCCACACUGGGACUGGGACACGGCCCAGACUCCUACGGGAGGCAGCAGUAGGGAAUCUUCGGCAAUGGGGGCAACCCUGACCGAGCAACGCCGCGUGAGUGAAGAAGGUUUUCGGAUCGUAAAGCUCUGUUGUAAGUCAAGAACGAGUGUGAGAGUGGAAAGUUCACACUGUGACGGUAGCUUACCAGAAAGGGACGGCUAACUACGUGCCAGCAGCCGCGGUAAUACGUAGGUCCCGAGCGUUGUCCGGAUUUAUUGGGCGUAAAGCGAGCGCAGGCGGUUUGAUAAGUCUGAAGUUAAAGGCUGUGGCUCAACCAUAGUUCGCUUUGGAAACUGUCAAACUUGAGUGCAGAAGGGGAGAGUGGAAUUCCAUGUGUAGCGGUGAAAUGCGUAGAUAUAUGGAGGAACACCGGUGGCGAAAGCGGCUCUCUGGUCUGUAACUGACGCUGAGGCUCGAAAGCGUGGGGAGCGAACAGGAUUAGAUACCCUGGUAGUCCACGCCGUAAACGAUGAGUGCUAGGUGUUGGAUCCUUUCCGGGAUUCAGUGCCGCAGCUAACGCAUUAAGCACUCCGCCUGGGGAGUACGACCGCAAGGUUGAAACUCAAAGGAAUUGACGGGGGCCCGCACAAGCGGUGGAGCAUGUGGUUUAAUUCGAAGCAACGCGAAGAACCUUACCAGGUCUUGACAUCCCGAUGCUAUUUCUAGAGAUAGAAAGUUACUUCGGUACAUCGGUGACAGGUGGUGCAUGGUUGUCGUCAGCUCGUGUCGUGAGAUGUUGGGUUAAGUCCCGCAACGAGCGCAACCCCUAUUGUUAGUUGCCAUCAUUCAGUUGGGCACUCUAGCGAGACUGCCGGUAAUAAACCGGAGGAAGGUGGGGAUGACGUCAAAUCAUCAUGCCCCUUAUGACCUGGGCUACACACGUGCUACAAUGGUUGGUACAACGAGUUGCGAGUCGGUGACGGCAAGCUAAUCUCUUAAAGCCAAUCUCAGUUCGGAUUGUAGGCUGCAACUCGCCUACAUGAAGUCGGAAUCGCUAGUAAUCGCGGAUCAGCACGCCGCGGUGAAUACGUUCCCGGGCCU